GAUGAACGCUGGCGGCGUGCCUAAUACAUGCAAGUCGAGCGAACAGACGAGGAGCUUGCUCCUCUGACGUUAGCGGCGGACGGGUGAGUAACACGUGGAUAACCUACCUAUAAGACUGGUAUAACUUCGGGAAACCGGCGCUAAUACCGGAUAACAUGCUGAACCGCAUGGUUCAACAGUGAAAGACGGUCUUGCUGUCACUUAUAGAUGGAUCCGCGCCGCAUUAGCUAGUUGGUAAGGUAACGGCUUACCAAGGCAACGAUGCGUAGCCGACCUGAGAGGGUGAUAGGCCACACUGGAACUGAGACACGGUCCAGAGUACUAAGGGAGGCAGCAGUAGGGAAUCUUCGGCAAUGGGCGAAAGCAUGACGGAGCAACGCCGCGUGAGUGAAGAAGGUCUUCGGAUCGUAAAACUCUGUUAUUAGGGAAGAACAAAUGUGUAAGUAACUAUGCACGGCUUGACGGUACCUAAUCAGAAAGCCACGGCUAACUACGUG
rnacentral:rRNA from 1 species